rnacentral:tRNA from 1 species
GCGGCGGUGGCGAAAUGGCAGACGCGCAAGACUUAGGAUCUUGUCCAGAAAGGGGUGGGGGUUCAAGUCCCUCUCGCCGCA